CGGCUCCGGACGACAGCGUGAAGGUGAGCUUGGAUUUAUUUAAACAUAAAUCACUCAAACUUUCACAAAUGCAAACAAUAAGCAAAAAAAGGCAAGCGUGCCUAAAACACAAAAGAAGCUGCUAUUAGCAGAAGCAAUGACAUGAACUAUGACUUACUUAGUCAGCAAGAGCCAUGAACAGGUGUGACAUAAGACAAUGAACGCAGAACGAGUGCACAGAAAGAAAGACUUAAAUAACAGACAUGAUUAACAACAGGUGCGUGACUCAAAACGUGAAACAGGUGCGUGACAUGACAGGUGAAAACUAAUGGGUGACCAUGGAAACCAAACCAAACAAGGAAGUGCAACCAGGAACUAAAAAGAGUCCAAAAAACAAACACAUGGCCAAAACAAAAACAUGAACAGACAUGACAGAGUGUACAUGGUGUGUUGCAAAAAGACAAGACGCUCAAACACUGAAUAGCUUCACCUUUGCGUUUGACAAGUAGAUUUAACAUUUAGGCUUAGAUUCAACAUUUAGAUUUAAGAUUUAGAUUCAACAUUUAGAUUUGUAUUUAAAUUUGCAUUUAACAGUUAGAUUUGAGAUUUAUAUUUAAAUGUACUAUUUAAGUUUAGAUUUAACAUUUACAAUUAACAUUUACAUUUAUGUUUAGAUUUAACAUUUAAAUUGGAAAUUAACAUUUAGGUUUAGAUAUAACAUUUAGAAAUAGAUUUAACAUUUACAUUUUGAUUUCAAAUUUAGAUUCAACAAUUAGAUAUAUUUAGAAUCAACAUUUAAUUUAAACUUAAAUGUGAUGAAAAUGAGGUAAAUGGGACAAAAGUGAGUUAAAUGUGAGAAAUAUAUUUACUAGAAAUAUAUUUACUAGAAGUGUGACUGAACUUUUACAUCCGGCGCUCCAUAGCUUAUGUGACUUUGGUAUCUGUAUAAAUCCCGAACAUUUCCAUUAAUGCGUAGAGGUAUUGCAAGGAUAUUUAUAAAACAAUCUUGCCUUACUGCCUACUUCCUGCAAACGGUCCGUUUGGAAAAUGCACAAUUGGUGACGUCACAAAUUGGUCACAAAGCCAUCCGAUUAUCCAUAUAUGGUAUAAAACUACCCAAACUGUGUUGCGCGCGUCCGUCAUUUUAAAUUCAUGUGGCAAGCACCUGUAGUUUAGACCAGUGGUCCCCAACCUUUUUGGAACUGCGGACCGGUCAACGCUUGAAAAUGUGUCCCACGGACAUUGGGGGUGAUUUUUUUUAUUUAUUUUUUUUUCAUAAAAAAAUACAAUCAUGUGUGCUUACGGACUGUAUCCCCGCAGACUGUAUUGAUCUAUAUUGAUAUAUAAUGUAGGAACCAGAAAUAUGAAUAACAGAAAGAAACAACCCUUUUGUGCGAAUGAGUGUGAAUUAUUGUAAAUGAGGGAGGGAGGUUUUUUGGGUUGGUGCACUAAUUGUAAGUGUAUCUUGUGUUUUUUAUGUUGAUUUUAUUUUCAUUUGUAUUAUUUAUUUUUUUAAUUCUUGUGCGGCCCGGUACCAAUCGAUCCACGUACCGGUACCACAGAAGUUUGGGGACCACUGGUUUAGACGACAAAAUGCCUAAGAUACGACUUGAAAAACAAAAAUGCUGUUAUUGGUUGUUUUAUUUAUUAACUUAGGACACUAAUGAAACCUCCAGUCUCAAUUUAAGAAGUAAGAAAUGUCGGCUAACUUUUGUUUCGUGCCUUCAAAUGUGAAGAAUGAUGAAGUCUCUAUGUGUGUGCAAACCACUUGAAAGAUUCCUGCUUCAUGAACCUGCAGCAGUAUGAAGAUGGAUUUUCCCUGAAGCUUAUUUUAAUGGCGGAGUUGGUGACUAUUAUUUAUAGCAAUGGAGGAGACAAUGAAACAGUAAGUAAAAACAAGUUAGAUGGAUAAACCUUUAUUGUCUUAUUCAUCUUUAACAGGCUCUAAGACAAACUUACAAGAGAUGAAAAAUAAAACCAUAAAACAGACACAAAUUGUAAAAUAUAAAAGAUGAUGCAAUAGUGCACAUCUAUUUUUGUCUAAAGUGAUGGUGGCAAUAGGAAUACAAGUUUAAAGAGACAGCCUGAUAGAAGCAACUAGAAUGAUGAGUGCAGUGGGUGUGGGAUCCUGAAUGAUGGAGGUGGCUUUCCCGGAGUGUAGAGAUCUGUUAGGGAGGUUUGGGGAAUCCAAAUAUUUGACUGGUCUGUUAUAUUAUGAGGGAAAGUUUUGUUUUAAGUUUAAUGGUAAGUGAGUUGUACCACUUUGUAGACCAGGGCCAGAGUGUCCUUACUGAUGCUGAAAGACCGGCGUUUCCUUAGCUGGUGGAAGCGCUAAGGACUGCACCUCCUCUACCAGCUGACCAUUGAUGCUGACAGGCUGGAAAAGUGAAAACUGCUGUGAGACCAGCGUUCUUCUGGUACCACAGCACAGCUCUUUGGUCUUCAUGACAUUGAAAGUUGUUGACUGACUGCUGGUGGUCAGACAUUGAAGUAGUGUCAAUUACAUGUGCUACCAAAGCCAUAUCUCCAUAAUUUAAAAAGAGUAAUUCUGUCUCUGCUGCACCUGAUGAUGUUGGUGUAUGCAGACAAGACAAUGAGGGAUAGUACAUUCUGGGGAAAGUCCGGUCUUUAUAAACACUACUGGAUCUAGAGACAUUUAAAGACAUGCACCUGGGGAUAGGUUGAUUAAUGUUGUCUGUCUAUCUGUGUUGGCCCUGUGAUGAGGUGGUGACUUGUCCAGGGUCUACCCCGCUUUCCGCCCGAUUGUAGCUGAGAUAGGCUCCAGCACCACCCGCGACCCCGAAUGUAACAAGCGGCAAAACAUGGAUGGAUGGAUGGAUAUAAACACUUGCUAAUCUCCUAAUCCAUAAAAUCAGUGCUGGAUGCACAUGGAGUUCCACCAGUCAGUUAAUUCAAAUGCUUGUAUGGACACUGUUAAAAGCUGAGGAAAAGUCUGUAAAUAAAAUCCUGGUGUGGGAGUGUGCAGAGUCCAGCUGCUUACCAACAGUAUUCAAAAGAGACAAGCAUGCAUUCUCCACUCCACGUUUGGCCUUAUUGGCAAACUGAAAUAGCUCCAGCCUCUCUGCCACCAUGCUGGAGAGAUGGGCAGACAACCCUCUCUCCCGGCAUUUACAGCGUGCAGAUGUUAAAAGAACAGGUAUAAAAUCAUUCAGGUGAUUCGCACGUCUUUUUUGGAAUCGGGAUGAUGUUUGAUUCCUUCCAGUAGUAAGGUGCACAUCCAGAAUCCACUAACCACUGGAAAAGCUUGGUGAGAGGCCCACUUAGCUGAGUGGAGCAACUUUUGUAGCACCCUUCCUCUUAGCUAGGCUUUAUGUGCGUUUACCCGGUCAAGGAUGGAGGUCACUAGCUUCUCAUCUAUGGUGGGUGCCAGGUGAGGUGAGCUCAGGGCGGGGGCGGAAUCGCCGAAAGAUGUGCUGAACCCGCUGAAGCAGUGGCGUGCGGUGAGGUUAAUGUCUGGUGAGGCACUGCAUCAUCAGUCAGAUUUACAAACAUAUGAACCCUAAAUAGUAUCUUAUUCACCAUGUGAUUGGCAGUAGUUAACGGGUUAUGUUUAAAAGCUCAUACCAGUAUUCUUUACACAACUGUAGCACACAAAAAAGCACAUUUAAUAAAAAAAACAUUAUUAUGGUCUUACCUUUCUUGCUGGACAUCCACAGAGCCAGCCUUUGCGUGUGUACCACGCCAUCCCGAAGUCAAAAGCAAACCUUUUAGCUCCGGCGUUGGUCUACCUUUAAUUAUUACCUCCUGCUUUGAUUGAAAGUCCAGUUUAGAAAACUGUUUUAUUUUACAUAUGUAAUCCUCCAUGUUUUUAAUAAAAGUCCAGGCGAGAGGAAAUAAACAAUCGCUGCACUAAUUGACUUGCAAACUUUUUUUUUUUUUUUUUUUCUUCUGCAGCGAGGAAUGAUCUCUGGGAUCGCUAUCACCCUCUACCACCAGGAGGCCGGAUUACUGCGAGCCUCAGACAGUGAGGCCCCGCCUCCCCUGCCUCUAGUGACUGCACGCCACUGCGCUGAAGAAAACAUUAGGUGGUGGAGUCUUGGCAUUUGAUCACUGCAGCAUCUUGGCCUCCUUCCUUUGUGCCGACAACAAACCAAGAUGAGUCGCUGAUCUCGCUAUAUCAUCUGGGAUGUGGUGUUGCUGUGAAAGCCACUCAAGACAGAUGGCUUGUGGCGGUCACCAAAGUCCAUAGUGCACAUUAAAAAAGCGAGAGAGAUUAAAAAACUACAAAACAUUUCUGCCGAGCGGGGGCAAAUGCACACUCAGCGUAAGGAGCAUCAACCAACUCUACCUCUCAAAACUAACCACUUUAAAAAACAGAAAAAAAGUGGCUUAAAAAUAUGUCUGUAAAACAUAAUGUAUGCACAUUUUUCACCAAAGAACCACCAUUACAUGUUAUAUAGACCCCAGGACAAUGUUUUAAAUGUAGAAAAAAAAUCUUAUGACCCCUGUAAGUCCUUGAGUUUAUGUGGAGUUAACCUCGGAAAACAUCACAUACUAUUAACUCAUGUAGUAAUUGUAUUUACCAGCUUUAAGUAUCAACAUCUUGCUCUGCGUGUACAAAUGAACUGGAAGUGGACUUCUAUUGAAUGAUUGCAAUUUCCACAGUUGUUGACCACUUGCUCAUUUUUAGCAUAACCUGUGUUCAUUUCCAAACUUCUGACCAUCGCCUGGAAACCUUUAAAACAUUACAGGUGGAAGGGGACAGGAUGAAUGACCACCCAAUUCUCCUUUGCUUAGGUUGGCUCUAAAAAAGCGGAAAUGUUAUCAAGUCAAAUGUGGAUUUAAAUGGCUUCACCUUUACUUAUUCACUAAUCGGUUGUUUUAAACUGCUCCACUCUGAUUUGUUGUAUUGACCAAAGAUGUUUUAUUCAUUUAAAAUUUACCAACACUGUAUUUCCUCUUGAGUAAAGGCAAGUAGUUUAUAAAUAUAGAAAUGCAUCCAUCCAUCCAUUUUCUACUGCUUGUCCCUUUCGGGGUCGCAGGGGGUGUUGGAGCCUAUCUCAGCUGCAUUCGGGCGGAAGGCGGGGUACACCCUGGACAAGUCGCCACCUCAUCGCAGGGCCAACACAGAUAGACAGACAACAUUCACACUCACAUUCACACACUAGGGCCAAUUUAGUGUUGCCAAUCAACCUAUCCCCAGGUGCAUGUCUUUGGAGGUGGGAGGAAGCCGGAGUACCCGGACGGAACCCAUGCAGUCAUGGGGAGAACAUGCAAACGCCACACAGAAAGAUCCCGGGAUUGAACUCAGGACCUUCGUACUGUGAGGCACAUGCACUAACCCCUGUACCACCGUGCUGCCCCUAUAUGACAUUUACCUUGUUGUGUAUAUAUAUAUAUAUAUAUAUAUAUAUAUAUAUACUAUGGGACAACUCAUAUACCGCCCAAGCUCCAUUGAAAAUGUGGGCUUUUGAAGAAUAGAAUAAAAAUUGUUCUUAAAAAGCCACUAAAAUCAAAGAAGGACGACAAACCGAAUCCAAACAACUUACUCAAUAUCCAUUUAAUGAAUAUUAAAUUAACACCUUGUAUCGGUGACGUCAACAUAACUUGGUUCACGCGUCCAUCUUUUAUUCUAGAAUAGAAUAGAAUUGACUUUGUCAUAAAAUUUGCAUAUGAUGAGAUUAAGGACUCCAAUUUAAGGUGCAGUAGUGGGAACAAAUAUGGGGUAAAAAUAAAUAAAUAAUAAAAUAAAGAAAUUACACAACAGGCAAUAAAGAAAAAAAACUAACAAUUGAAAUAGACUACUAUCCAAUAAGAAUAAUAAGCAAUCCUGUACAAUAUACAAAACACUAUAGAAAUACAAGACGUAGGUUCGAUUCUUGACAACGUCAGUUCUCAAACGUGUUUAUCACUGUAAAUAUUACAUUUAUUAAAGUAACGCAUUCUGUAUUUAUUAUUAUUAACCAGCUACCAGGAAACAGCUGGAUGAUGGAGAGGUUUUAUCAAAAAAUAAAUACAAAUGAACUAAAUCGCCUCUGU